AUAAGGUCUGGCCUGCCCACUGAGAGUUAAAGGGCCGCGGUAUUUUAACCGUGCGAAGGUAGCAUAGUCAAUAGUCCUUUAAUUGGGGGCUGGAAUGAAUGGUCGGACAUGGAGAAAUCUGUCUUUGAAAUCUACUGGUGAAUUUAACUUUUAUGUGAGAAGGCAUGAAUGAUCUGGGGGGACGAUAAGACCCUAUAAAAUUUGAUACAUAAGGUGGGGUUUCCAACUUACUAGUGAAUGGAAGUCUCGGUGAUUGUAUUACGCUGGGGCGGCGGAAAUAUAAUGCGUAGCUGUUUUUGAUUAUAAAAUGACUAUAGCCAGAUUUUGACCCUGAGAGUUUGGGUUAUAAGUUGAAGUUACUUUAGGGAUAACAGCGUUAUUUCUCUUGAGAGUUCAUAUCGACAGAGACAUUUGCGACCUCGAUGUUGAAUUAAAGUUUCCCCCAGGGGUAGGAGUUUGGGGGGUAGGUCUGUUCGACCUU
rnacentral:rRNA from 1 species